UCGACCAAGAACAGAAGCACAAGAGGAAACCCUUGUGUCAAAGAAUCAAGCAAUUAAACUUGAAAUUGAAGGAUAAUCCACUUCAUGAACAUCAAAUAACACUCUUCUGAACUCGAUUAUUGAAGUGGUGUAAAAGAAGAAAGCUCAAACGCUAGGAAAGCUGAAGACGUGCAAGAUCGAGGUAAAUACGCAGUUUAGACGUUAUGGCGAACUUGGAACGAACACACAUGAUACACCCACCUCGUGCUUCCGGAGUUAUCUACGAUUAUGGGUCUAAAAUUAUGAUUUUGUUUAUUAAACCAAAUACGUAUAGUCUUUUGGUGUUCGUAUGUACUUUAACUUAUUAUGAUUAGUAGACC